GAUCCUGGCUCAGGAUGAACGCUAGCUACAGGCUUAACACAUGCAAGUCGAGGGGCAUCAGUUUGGUUUGCUUGCAAACCAAAGCUGGCGACCGGCGCACGGGUGAGUAACACGUAUCCAACCUGCCUCAUACUCGGGGAUAGCCUUUCGAAAGAAAGAUUAAUAUCCGAUAGCAUAUAUUUCCCGCAUGGGUUUUAUAUUAAAGAGAUUCGGUAUGAGAUGGGGAUGCGUUCCAUUUAG
rnacentral:rRNA from 1 species